CAGCCCAGGAGUCUGCAAAUGUCCCCUGCAGGUUCAGGGUGGGGUUUUCCCUGGCUCUUGCAGGCAUCUCUUCUCCCAGCAGAUGCUCCCUGCCUGGCCCCACGCCCUGAGCAGAGUUUGUUUUCCUGCUGUGAGCUUUUCUUAGGGGUUUUCCCCUUGUGGUGAACAGGAGAGGGGACUGGAGUGUGGGCAAGACAGGGACAGUCUUGUGCCUGCUGGGAGCACUGUGGAGAGCUGGUGGAGGUGGUGUGGGCACUGGUGGAUGAUUCCUCUCCUCUGGGCUCUGUGUGACAGUGCUGGGGGUGGGUCCCAGCAGUGACACUGGAGUGGGCAGUUGCAAGGAGGCAGACAAGUGUCACGUGUCUGGGCCAGCUGGCAAUGGCUGCAGCAUACCCAGAGCAUGCCAGGAGGAGCCAGGAGCUUUCCCAGACGGAGCAAGGCUGACCUGUGCCUGAUCCCCUGGGCUGCUGAGAGCGCAGCCAGCCCCACAGCGUCCCGAGGGUGGCUUUGGUACCAAAGGCUCCCAUGUGUUUGUAGUCAAGCAGACAGGCUUGCUGUAGAGCCAGCUCUCAGCAGUGUGUCUGCCUGGCAUCUGCCACCCCACUGCUGCUCCCCACCAGCCCUGCUGCUGCCCCUCCGGGUAGCAUUCCCUGGCCUGGGAGGGACCGAUUGAUUUCAGCUCUAUUCCUGAGGCUGGAGCUAUGCAAAGCACUUCAAAAACAAAACCUGCUGGCUCCAGCCCCCAUCCUUCACCUUCAAGCCAUGGCAGCCACAAGCUGGCUCCAGCCCCCAUCAAGCCAUGGCUGCUACAAUCAUCCACGGGGAGCAGAAGCAUCAGAGUGACCUGGGCAGGUGGCUCCAGAGGUUCAGUAAGGCAAAGUGCAAGGUCCUGCACCUGGGUCAGGCAACCCUCAAUACAGAUGCAGAGCAGCCCUGCAAAGAAGGACCUGGGGGUGCUGGGGUGGUGGGGGGAGAAGUUGGACAGGAAUCAGCAAUGGACACUGGCUGCUGGCCAGCAGAGAGGACUGUCACCCUGGUGAGACCUCACCUGCAGGGCUGGG